AAGUUUUGAGUGCAGUUGGUAGAGCGUUAGACUUUUAAUCUAACGGUCAGGGGUUCGAGCCCCCUGGAGGGCUUA
rnacentral:ncRNA from 14 species